UCACAGAGGAUGGGCUGCACAGUGGAUGGGCCCACAGUGAUGGGUCCACAGUGGAUGUGCUCACAGUGGAUGGGCUCACAGUGGAUGGGCUCACGGUGGAUGGGCUCACGGUGGAUGGGCUCACAGUGGAUGGGCUGCACAGUGGAUGGGCUGCACAGUGGAUGGGCUGCACAUGGAUGCACUCACAGUGGAUGCACUCACAGUGGAUGGACUGCACAGUGGAUGGGCUCACAGUGGAUGCACUCACAUUGGAUGGGCUCACAGUGGAUGGGCUCACAGUGGAUGCACUCACAGUGGAUGGGCUGCACAGUGGAUGGGCUGCACAGUGGAUGGGCUCACAGCAGUCCUCUCACCUGGCUGCAUAUCCAAUCACCUGGGUCCUCUUAUAUUUCCCAGGACUCCGUGGCACACCUGGCCCAUUAAAUCAGAAAGUUUGGGGUGAUGAGCCAGGCGUCUGUGUUGGAAACAUGGCCAUUCACAUACAGCCCAAGGCACCAUUGGCAGGAAAAUCAGAGGGGCCCUCAGCAACUCUGGGGCUGGCUUAGCUCCCACCCAUUGCCCUAGUCCUCGAAGACUGUCAGCAGCCACCCGUCCAGCUCAUCCCCUCCCUCGUCUGUCUAUUUCAGAGGCCAGAGGAAGGCAGAGAAGAUGAGGAGACCAGCUAAGUUGCAUAGUGCAGAAUAAUGCACUGCCUUGCAGCCACCCAGACCAGAGUUCAAAUCCCAGCUCUGCUGUGUGCUCUUACUGGGUGAUCUUGGAGAAGCUGCCUGACCCCUCCAGGCCUUGGAACUCUAAUCUAUAAAAUGGUGGUGUUAAUAAUCGUCAUCUCCAGUAUCUGUGACGCUGGGGUUAAGUAACAUCCGCUCUGGCUGUGGGAUCCUAGACAUGUUAUUUUGCCUCCCUCUGCUUCAGUGAACCCAUCUUUAAAAUGGGAAUGAUAACUCUUACUCAUAGAGGUGGAGUAAGGAUUAAAUCCAUUAAAUGAAUCAAUCUACACAAAGUACUUAGAACAACAUCUGGCCCGUCCCAAGAGCUUGGCACACCCCCCAUGCCCCACCUCCCUCCUGCGGUCAGGGGCCCCCUAGGCAGGGAUAGUCUCUUGGUCUCUCUUUCUUCUUAAGUGGAAGAUGGCCCCAGGACAGAGGGAGCAGCGAGGGCCUGGAUGCCCUGGAGGAGUGAAGAACCAUAGAGAUUGGUUUCCAAACUCAAAUAGUACUUAGUGAGCACCAGCCCUGUGCC
rnacentral:lncRNA from 1 species